AACGCACCUUGCGCUCCUUGGUAUUCCGAGGAGCAUGCCUGUUUGAGUGUCAUUAAAUUCUCAAUCUCUACAACUUUGUGUAGUUGAUUGGAUGUGGGGGUUUCUGUGUGGGAUCUAAUCUCCCUCACUCCCCUUAAAUGUAUUAGCCGGAAUGCUUCUGCAAGUCUGACUAUCAGUGUGAUAAUUAUCUAUACUGUAGUUGUUGCAUGAGGGAAUCUGCUUCAUAAACCGUCGAAAGACAAUUCUAAUGACCAUCUUGACCUCAAAUCAGGUAGGACUACCCGCUGAACUUAA
rnacentral:misc_RNA from 1 species